rnacentral:tRNA from 1 species
CGGGGUGUAGCUCAGUCCGGUUUAGAGCGCCUGCCUUGGGCGCAGGAGGUCGGAGGUUCGAAUCCUCUCACCCCGACGA